rnacentral:rRNA from 1 species
UACAUAGGGUCCGAGCGUUGUCCGGAAUUACUGGGCGUAAAGAGCUCGUAGGUGGUUUGUCGCGUUGUUCGUGAAAACUCACAGCUCAACUGUGGGCGUGCGGGCGAUACGGGCAGACUUGAGUACUGCAGGGGAGACUGGAAUUCCUGGUGUAGCGGUGGAAUGCGCAGAUAUCAGGAGGAACACCAGCGGCGAAGGCGGCGCUCUGGGCCGGAACUGACGCUGAGGAGCGAAAGCGUGGGUAGCAAACAGG